AACGAACGCUGGCGGCAUGCCUAACACAUGCAAGUCGAACGAGACCUUCGGGUCUAGUGGCGCACGGGUGCGUAACGCGUGGGAACCUGCCCUUAGGUUCGGAAUAACUCCCCGAAAGGGGUGCUAAUACCGGAUAAUGUCUUCGGACCAAAGAUUUAUCGCCUUUGGAUGGGCCCGCGUUGGAUUAGCUAGUUGGUAGGGUAAAAGCCUACCAAGGCGACGAUCCAUAGCUGGUCUGAGAGGAUGAUCAGCCACACUGAGACUGAGACACGGCCCAGACUCCUACGGGAGGCAGCAGUGGGGAAUAUUGGACAAUGGGCGAAAGCUUGAUCCAGCAAUGCCGCGUGAGUGAUGAAGGCCUUAGGGUUGUAAAGCUCUUUUACCCGGGAUGAUAAUGACAGUACCGGGAGAAUAAGCUCCGGCUAACUCCGUG
rnacentral:rRNA from 1 species